UACAGAGGGUGCGAGCGUUGUCCGGAAUGACUGGGCGUAAAGGGCACGUAGGUGGUGAAUCGGGUUGAAAGUGAAAGUCGCCAAAAAGUGGCGGAAUGCUCUCGAAACCAAUUCACUUGAGUGAGACAGAGGAGAGUGGAAUUUCGUGUGUAGGGGUGAAAUCCGUAAAUAUACGAAGGAACGCCAAAAGCGAAGGCAGCUCUCUGGGUCCCUACCGACGCUGGGGUGCGAAAGCAUGGGGAGCGAACAGG
rnacentral:rRNA from 1 species